CUAAUGGAGCUUUUGGUUCUCCUGGAAUAAGAGGAGAGAAAGGAUUAACAGGGGUUCAGGGCCCAAUGGGAAGAGAAGGUGACAUCGGUGCCAAAGGGAAUGAAGGAUUCAAUGGGCGAAAGGGUGAAGCUGGAUCCCUGGGUCCUAAAGGAGAAUCUGGAAGAGCUGGACCUCGUGGGCUGCAGG